rnacentral:rRNA from 1 species
CCUACGGGAGGCAGCAGUAGGGAAUCUUGCGCAAUGGGCGAAAGCCUGACGCAGCCAUGCCGCGUGAAUGAUGAAGGUCUUAGGAUUGUAAAAUUCUUUCACCGGGGACGAUAAUGACGGUACCCGGAGAAGAAGCCCCGGCUAACUUCGUGCCAGCAGCCGCGGUAAUACGAAGGGGGCUAGCGUUGCUCGGAAUUACUGGGCGUAAAGGGAGCGUAGGCGGAUAGUUUAGUCAGAGGUGAAAGCCCAGGGCUCAACCUUGGAACUGCCUUUGAUACUGGCUAUCUUGAGUAUGGGAGAGGUGAGUGGAACUCCGAGUGUAGAGGUGAAAUUCGUAGAUAUUCGGAAGAACACCAGUGGCGAAGGCGACUCACUGGCCCAUUACUGACGCUGAGGCUCGAAAGCGUGGGGAGCAAACAGGAUUAGAUACCCUGGUAGUCCACGCCGUAAACGAUGAGUGCUAGUUGUCGGCAUGCAUGCAUGUCGGUGACGCAGACUACGACAUUAAGUACACUCCGCCGUCGGGGAGGUACGGUACGGCGAAGAAUUAAAACUAACGAAAGAAAGUUAGACGGCGUGAGACGUACGCCGAACGGACGACGACGAGGGAGGAGG